rnacentral:rRNA from 1 species
UGGGGAAUAUUGCGCAAUGGCCGAAAGGCUGACGCAGCGACGCCGCGUGUGGGAGGAAGCCCUUCGGGGUGUAAACCACUGUCAGGGGGGACGAAUCGCGAGCGGGCAAAUAGCCCGAGCGCUUGACGGUACCUCCAAAGGAAGCACCGGCUAACUCCGUGCCAGCAGCCGCGGUAAGACGGAGGGUGCAAGCGUUGUUCGGAAUUACUGGGCGUAAAGCGCGGGCAGGUGGUCCUUUAAGUCCUUUGUGAAAUCCCGGGGCUCAACUCCGGAUGUGCAUAGGAUACUGGAGGACUGGAGACUGGUAGAGGCGAGCGGAAUUCCUGGUGUAGCGGUGGAAUGCGUAGAUAUCAGGAAGAACACCGGUGGCGAAGGCGGCUCGCUGGGCCAGUUCUGACACUCAUCCGCGAAAGCGUGGGGAGCAAACAGG